GGCAUGGUGGCUUAGUGGUUAGCAUGCUUGCCUCGCACCUCCGGGGUUGGGGGUUUGAUUCCCACCUCUGCCC